rnacentral:rRNA from 1 species
GAUGAACGCUGGCGGCGUGCUUAACACAUGCAAGUCGAACGAAGCAUUUAGAAGUUUUCGGACGGAAGAAUGACUUAGUGGCGGACGGGUGAGUAACGCGUGGGUAACCUGCCUUAUACAGGGGGAUAACAGUUGGAAACGACUGCUAAUACCGCAUAACCCGAUAGAGUCGCAUGACUUAGUCGGAAAAGAUUUAUCGGUAUAAGAUGGACCCGCGUCUGAUUAGCUAGUUGGUGAGGUAAUGGCCCACCAAGGCGACGAUCAGUAGCCGGCUUGAGAGAGUGAACGGCCACAUUGGGACUGAGACACGGCCCAAACUCCUACGGGAGGCAGCAGUGGGGAAUAUUGCACAAUGGGGGAAACCCUGAUGCAGCAACGCCGCGUGAAGGAUGAAGUAUUUCGGUAUGUAAACUUCUAUCAGCAGGGAAGAAAUGGACGUACCUGACUAGA